UGUUUGAUUAAAAUUGAUUUUUGAUGAAAUGAAAAGCAAUUUUCUGGUUUUGCUUUCACUCUUGGCCGACCCCCUCUCUCUCCCAAACCCUCUUAUUAUUUCAAAAGUUGAAUUUGAAGAAAAGCUUGGUUCUUAGCUUGUUUUGGAGCUUUGAAGUUGUGAAUUCUUGGUUUGAGUUUGAGGAUUACCGGCACCUGGUCAGGAGCACCCGGGGAUUUGGAAUCUCUACUAUUGCGGGACAACAGGAAAGGGUAAGGCAUUAGCUGAUCAGCCAUGAGUUUCAGGAGCAGGGCGAAGAAUGUACAUGUUCAUGCCACUUCAGACCAAGCGGGUUAUGGGUCUAACAGUGUUGACUUUUGUAUUCUGUUUUGCCGCUUAGGUCGGCUAGUAAGAAAGAACUUGUAAUAAGUUUGUAAAUGUUUUUGGGAUCCCAACUAUUUUGAAAAGUUUAAAUAUAUUACAAGUUUAUUUUCA